rfam:Myotis davidii contig157452, whole genome shotgun sequence.
GGCGGUUCUCGGGUGACGCGCCUGGAGCCAGAGAGGAGUGAGCCCGGUUCCAGGGUGCGUCACCUGAGAACUGCC